GAUUUCUUCUGCUUGGAUAGGGUCACCUUUUGCCAACUUGUCUGCAAUCAUGCUUUUACAGAUUGAUAAGGCAAACUCCAUUGCUUUUGUUUUUGUUGGUGCACUUUGAAUUUUUAAGAAGAUACCAAAUAAAAUUAAAGGUGUAACAAAUGUGUCUGUAAUUCCAGCAAUGUUCAGUGUGAUAAAAUCUCUCAAAAUCUGGGGUGCCUAGCCCUCACAAACGCUUACAUAACUGUGUUGAACAUUUUGCUACAGUCUUUACAGGGAGUAUUAAAAAUAGUCAACACGAGGAUAUUCAAAAUUGGGCAGUAAAUCGCUUUAUAUCUGUGACUUUGGAUAUGGAACUUGUGAUCCUUUUCUUCCAGGCUUUAGAGUUGUAGGGAAAAUUCAUAAUUAAGUGCCACGGAGUUGGAGUGAGAUGGAUGAUUGCAGCUCUUUUCAGUGGAAAGAAAAAUUUUCCACGAGUGAAGAAAUAAUUAUGGCCAAGAUCAUGAAAUGUGAUUUUAUUCUUAGAUCAAUUACAACUUUUUUGGGUCUAUGAGGGUUUUAAAUAAAAACUUUUUAUUACUAUUCUGACACACAAUGUCAAUAGUAAAAGUGGAUAAAAAGACUCGUGCCACUUUCCAAACGAUCCUCCGGACAGCUCCCCAAGAAUGAGAAAAUUCAUCGAUUUUGUCAUUAAUAAAAUCAGUUCCUAGCAUUAACCAAUUGUAGGUGGGAUGGGACGAAAUAGACUCUGAAUUUCUUGAAAGGUCAAUUAUAUCAAUCUGAAUAAUUCUGGAGAGCAAAGACAACCCUCCUCCUAAAUGACUUUUGGGUCUUUUUAUGGAAUCUAUGUUGUUCCUAGGAUAAAAAAGUUUAUUGAGCCCGCAAUUUUUUUCGUCAAUGACAUUUGGAAUAGACGUUGCCUUAUAAAGAUUUGUAGCUGAACUCAAAUAUAAGGAAAGAGAAAUGACAAAUUGAACCGAAUUACAUCUCAGAGAAUAUUUUCUUCCAUUGAAAGCACGCAAGAUAAUAUUUUUCCCAAAUGAAAAGGAGGGCGAAUCAAGUUAUGAAAUCCAAGUAGAACGAGUCGGCUUGGACAAUACCUUCUAGUACUUUGAUUAGUUAAUGAUUCCUUUUACUAUUAAAAGUGUAUAACUCUUUUCACCAACUUUAAAUUCUACAUAUGUCUGCUAUUAUUUGAUUAACAAAAAGUUAUACUAGUCAAUAGUUUUUCCACAAAUUACCUUUGAAUGCGACUCGACAAUCCCCGUAGCCAGGGACAGUUACAGAAGCUAAUAUAGAUAUCAAGUUUCAGUUAGAACUGAAGGAAAUUAGACUAAAACAUAGGUUUCAAGGAAAUAAUAACUAGUCCUUUCAAGGUUUUUAUUCAUCAACUUUCUAUAUAUUAUAGUAAGUUAAGAUACUAAUCUGUAAUUUAUAUUAUAAAUUACAGAUUAGUAUUUUAGAUUGAAGAAAUAGAUUCUCAUAAAAAAUUUCAAGGCCUUGUUCAAGCUAAAGAUAUGUUUGAUAUGACGUGUAAUUUUAUAAAUAAUAAAGAAGAAUAAACAAUUCCAACACUUUUUGCAAUUGUCCUCCGGGUAUUGAGUUUUGCAAUAUCUCAAAUUGCUCCUCACGGAAUGUCUAUUAAAUUUUGAUAAAAUCAUAUUAACUGAAGGCAAAAUAUCAAGAACUAUUCAAAUAUUAUCAAAAGUUACAGGAAACAAAAUGAAAAAUUAUCACUGCAUUAUUAUAAAAAUAUUUUUCUGAACAAAACAGCUUAAUACUCCACAUUUGAAGAAAAGUCGAGAAAAAUUAUGGAUUUUUUUCACAAUAAUCUGCAUUAUAUUAUAGAAUUGUAAUUUAUAGGUGUUAGAUUUUUAAUGUAAGAGAAAAAACCCCCCACAUCUGCAACCGUCUUGUGUAUGCAACUGCCCCUAAUUUCCUCUAAUACUAAUUAAUAAUAUAUAA
rnacentral:lncRNA from 1 species